rnacentral:rRNA from 1 species
UACGUAGGGUGCAAGCGUUGUCCGGAUUUAUUGGGUUUAAAGGGUGCGUAGGCGGCUCUGUAAGUCACUUGUGAAAUCUCUGAGCUUAACUCAGAACGGCCAAGUGAUACUGCAGUGCUAGAGUGUAGAAGGGGCAAUCGGAAUUCUUGGUGUAGCGGUGAAAUGCGUAGAUAUCAAGAGGAACACCUGAGGUGAAGACGGGUUGCUGGUCUAACACUGACGCUGAGGCGCGAAAGCCAGGGGAGCAAACGGG